AACCCUAAUUCGUUCUCUUCCUGCGCCUUCGUCUACAGAAACCCUAAUGGCGAAAUCCUACACCUCCAUCACAAAUCAGUUUCAUCACUGCGAUUUGGGUGAAACGCUCAAGAUUCACAAUGAUUGGGUUUUCCUUUUGUCUGGUUUGAUUUGAUGAGCACGCAACAAUUGAGAGGUUCGUCGGUAUUUGAUGUUCAAUCGAUCUUCAGUCAUCUCCGAUCUUCAUCUCGCAGAUACAAAUUUUAUUUCAUCGCCACAACGAGCCUCUCAAGACUCAUCCCUCCGUUUGUGAGUCCUGUUCACAAAUCGUAUUUGACUUCUUGGCCAUUCGAUUCUUGGUUUUCAUCUCUCAAAUCUUCUUCGCAAAUCGUAGGAGAAGGCUAAAUCUUGUACAAAAUGUUACAAAAUUGACACUUCCAGUAGCAAAGAAAGCGGAGUCAAAACCGAACUGAAUCGCACCUUGCACAUCCCUAAAAUCACUUCAGAUGAUAUCCUUGCAAUUAUUGCAAAUGUAACUCAUAUUGAAUCAUUAAUAGGGAAGCGAACUGCAACCAGUAAGUAGAAAACACGCAAUCCGUUAAACAUAUUGAGAUUUCAUAUUUACCCCUGUAACAUAAACUGAUGUAUAGUGGGCUUACGCCAUGACCAUAACCAAGCUCCAGUUGCUAACUCGCUGGUGUUUUGCUUUUAAUUUGAUGUGAAUACCGAUGUGGAUGUAUAAUUUGAGUAAAUAACUUAUAUGUAUGUAUUCUAUAAGAGUGAUAAAAAUAGUAUUUGAAAUAAUGAGAUAUGAAAAAGAAAAAUCCACAAGGAACAUUUGCUAAUGCAUUGUUAGCAUGGGCGGUUCUUAGAAGGCCUGUGCCAGGGCCACGACCCUGGCAAGUUUUUCGGCCGUACUGCUAAUUUUCCGCAUUUCAAUCGAAAUUUUUUAUAUAUAAGAUGUUCGGCCCGGGCAUUUUUUAGUGUCCGUGUCUUUCGGCCCUGGGACGUUCAACGGGCAAGAUCCGCCACUGAUUGUUAGUAAUGGUUGAUGGUGUUCAUAAGAGAAAAUUAAUUAAAUUGCAAUUUUUGUGCACUUUCUUUAAAUUAUUUUUUUAAGUUUUGCAAAAAAAAAUCGAAGUAUACAAUAUGAUUUCUCAAUAUGGUGUUUGUUUAAAUUAAAUAAUCUUGGUAUUUUCACUAUGUCACUAAUUUAACUAAUGUGUCAGUUUGUUCCAAGAAUGUCAACUUUCAGGUAAUGAACUAAAGGACAAUAAGGAUGCAAAUCAUUCCUUUACUGGUGAAAUUUUGGACUAUGUAAAGUAAAAUGUGAAAGUAAGAAGCGAUGUUAUUCACAAUAAUUUCUUAAGAACAAAAGAUAUGUCCAGUCGUACAACUCCCGAGAUUCUUGUGCUGUAUAUAUACUUCGUUGGAAGGUACAUGUCUCGAUCGGGCCUUUAAUAAGUGAACAUGUCAAAAUUGCCAGCUCUACUUAUCAUGCUUUCCUUUUUAAUGUUUUGCUAAGCAUAGGUCAAGAGAAGCUAACCCACAAUUAGUAGAUUAUCUCAUGUUAUUACUUGUCAGGGCAUGUUUGGGAUCCAUUUAAAAAAAACAAAUGAAGAGACAUUUGGGGCACUUGGUUACACUUACUCCAUUAUUGCAGUGUAUGUAACUAAACAACUAUAUUUUGGAUAUUACUACUCAUCAACAUACAUGAUUUAUAACAAUUGUAGGUGUUAUUCGCAUGAAGGAUCUUCUUCAUUUUUCUAGAUACUCAUGCUUCACAUCUACCGCUUCAUGGGUGAGGAUCGGUUUUGUUCUCUGAAGAAAAAGAACCAAUUAAACAAGUUGAUUAGCAGUUCAGUAUGGGGAAAACUUGGUCUCUUUGACAUCUUUAGUGCUCAUACAUGGAAGGCGAAAAGUUCGACAAAGCAAAAAACACAAGAGCCGAAAUAGUUAGUUGGCGGAGAGGGAAAUGCAAUAUCAAGCUGACACAUGGCCCAAGUUUUUUUCAUCUAUUACAUAUAAUAAAUGAACAUAAUUUGGUCGCGUGGCAUCGUGCCAUUGCAGCUGGGAUUAUAUUUGGCGCACUACUUUUAGGUUUUCAAACAUAUUUGGACGUUUUACAUGAUUAUUACCCGUUUUCAUGUGCAAAAGGAUAGUGUGUUUACAAGAUGUCCAAUUUUUCUUGUAAAAAAAAGAGGUUAGAUAGUCACGUUCAUAUGAAUAAUUACAUCAUUCUAAUUUUGGUUGUUCUCUACGCACCAUCAAAUAUCUUUCACCACUUACGUUAUGUUUAUAAUUAUUACCAAGCUUUCCAUAUUUUUUGUUACUUGAUUUUAAGAAAUAUUAUUUUUUGCAGACUCAUGGAUCGAGAGCCGGCCAAGAAAGAGCAAAGAAAACAAUUGCCUUCCGAAAGGUUGACGAGACUAUGGAUAAACUCAAAAUAUGAAGCAAAUUCAGGAGGCAUUGGGAACAGCAUCGGGUGCAGCUGCUGAUUACGAUAAGGUCUACAUUUAUUCGAGUGGUAGGCAAUUUGCACAACGGUUAAUAUUUGGAUAUAAAAAGUAUGGCUACUUAAGGAAAUAUUUAUGUGGAUAAUUUGUCACGUGAGCGAUGUAAAACUUGAUCCUUAGAUUGGGAGACCAAUUGUGUAUGGGUUGGCCGCAAAAAGGAGAGUAUGGAGUUGGAAGAAAUGUGGAAGGAUGAACUUUCAAUGAUAUAUGGAUGUCACUUUGUUUAUGAUUUAUGAAGUGACUUCAAGGUUAUUAAAUUUUAUGUGUCUGUUAAAUCAAAGAGGACUUGCAUCUAUAACGUUGAUGUGGCAGGGCGUGCUACACCAACCGGACUGAGUUUAUGUUACUUUUAGUAAAUUGUAAAUGUAACAUUAUUUGUCAUUUUCUUGAUGUUUUUAUACACAUCUUAUAAAGAAAACUUCAUACCUAAUAAUACAAUCCACUUUGCUACUAA